UGAGAUUUGUUUAUUAAUUUACUAAAGCACAAUAAAAGUUUUCGUGCUCUCCGAUGUAAUAUAGUUCACGCCUUUCCUCUCUCUCCCCCUCUCUUAAACUCUACCCCUUGUCCUCCUCAACAAUCUUCCUCCCUCCCCCAUCCUCUCACUCCCUCCUCUUUCACGCAACAAAGUCAAUGUCCACCCAAAUCCCAGGUUCGGUCUCUCUCUAAUUCUCUCUUAUUUGAUUUGAUUUUCAAAAAAUAUAUAGAUCUAUUUGAUUUUCUUUCCUACUAUUGUCUUCUUCAAGCUACAUUGAUCUGGAUUUGAUGAAGGAGAAUCUUCGAGUCAAAAAGAUGUGGGCAACAAAAAAGGAGGGUCGCCGGAGGCCACCCUAGAAACCACCAUUGGCAUCUUCACCAUCGAGGAACUUCAUCAGGCUCGCUCGCAAAGGAUAUUACGACAACGUAAUUUCACAUAAUCAUCCAGGAUUUCAUAGGGCAAGGUGGUGAUCCCACUGGGGCAGGAAAGGGUGGCGAAUCCAUUUAUGGGGGAAAGUUUGAGGACGAGAUAAAACAAGAGUUGAAGCAUAUUGGAGCUGGCAUCUUAUCGAUGGCGAAUGCUGGUCCGAAAACAAAUGGAAGCCAGUUCUUUUUCAUGUUGGCACCGUGCCCAUCAUUGGAUGGCCUGCGUAUUAUAUAAAGCUUUGCACUUCAGAUUAAGGUAAAGUUUGAUUAUAUCUUAUAGUUAAUUCUGAUGCCCAUCGCAAGGUGUAUAAUUUUUUUCCAUUACACUUGUGUGUUCUAUCAAUUAAACUCCAGACCAACUACUAAUCUCCUAAGUUCUUUAAAUUCGGGUUUGUUAUAUGUUAUAGGAAAUGGCAUAUUUUGAGAUAUUUUGCAUCUUUUUUUCUUUAGUUCCUUACAUUUGAAAGAGUGAGAAUUAUAUUAUUGGGACUUUGGAUUCUAUUUUUAUGUCCUAAUUUGUGUGAGGAUUGCUUGCCAUCCAUAUAAGAAUGUUACUAAGUGUCGGGCAAAAGUCUUUAUGUUUCAAUCACAAACAAGUGCAUGUAUACAUAGCAGAAUUACACCAAUUAAUCUGUGGGAGGAAGGAUAUACAACAACUCAUGAGAUAAAGAUAAAGAAUCAUAAUUUGAAAGCCACUACAUACUCAUUUCUUGUUGCUCUGUGGCACUCAAGCAGCAUUUUGGAACUAAAAGAUGAGAAAAGAACUGUGCAGGUUCACUUAAAACCUUAAUAUUUGAUGUUCUUAUUCUUGAGAGAACCGAUAUUUACUUAAAACCUUUAUAAUUUUAUUUUUAUUUUAGUUGGGGAUAGAAUAUGUAAAAUUAUAGUUGUUUUUAUAUAUAAUGGUUGUCAAUAUCUUUGUAAAUUGUAAUAUUAUAGAUGCUUGUGGUUGUGGGCUGUUUUAAUUUUAUGAAAAAAUAAUUUUUUGUUUAGUCUCAAUCUCAAUUUGUAGGUGAUUUCGGUUUUUAAAUUUUUUUUAAAAUAGUUGACAUAUUGGGCACAAUAAGAAUAAAUGUGCUAACAUGGGUGGUAGCAGUCAUCUGACAACGUUAUCAGAACUGGGCACAAAAUGACCUUUAUUUGUCCAAAAUUGAACUUUUUAAUAUGAAUUCAGCCAUGUGUAGAGGCAAAAUGCAAAAAAUUGCAGAUUGUGCCUCUGCACUCAUCCCUUAGAUUUUCCUCAAUCCGUCAUCCGUCAUUUCCAUUUUUCUCAAUUUCAUCAUCUAAUACUCCCUUCAUCUUCUUCUCUAGGUUGAUCGAGCUAUCUUGGUGUGUCUGGGAUAUUGUGUGUGAUUAGCGAUUGGUGAAGAACGAUUGAGAAAGUAUUUUCAUCGUUUUAUUUUUUUAAACAUAUAAAACUAAUUAAAUUAUGUUGAACUUAGUUUGUUAUGUUUAUAUUGUGUUGUGAAAUUAUAUUUAUAUUAUGUUGUUAAAUUUGUACAUGACGUACAAAAAUGUGUUGUGAUGUAAGAAGUUAAUUGAAAUUAACUUUGUACUUGUUUUUUAUUUUUAGUAAAACUCAGUUUCCCGUUCGAGAAUUAGUUGGAUUUCGCGCAUAGAUGCGAAAGCAUAACUGUGGUCCAAUUAAUUCUUGAAUUGUCCCAUUAUUUAGACAGUUUGUGAAUGCACAGUUAUGAUGCGUAGUUUAUGGUUGAAGGAUUAGGUUUCGAUUGUGGAGAUUUCAGUGUUAUCUCUGUACGUUCUUCGGGUUGUACACCUGAAGAACUGUAUCGAGAUGCUGCUGAAAUUCAUCUACGUCGAAAUCUAAUAUGAUGUAGCUGUAAAUUACGUGAUAUGACUAUGCAUUCCCGAAUGGGAUAGGGCCCUCACCGAAGGCAUAAGGUGACAUUAUCAUUUUGUAUGAAGUUGUUGUGAUUGUUGUAUUGUUAUUGU